rnacentral:rRNA from 1 species
AGGUUACUGCUAUCGAGGUUCGACUAAGCCAUGCGAGUCGAAUGUAGCAAUACAUGGCGUACUGCUCAGUAACACGUGGACAGCCUACCCUCGGGACGGGGAUAAACCCGGGAAACUGGGUAUAAUACCCGAUAGAUCUCGGACGCUGGAAUGCAUCGAGAUCGAAAGCUCCGGUGCCCAAGGAUGGGUCUGCGGCCUAUCAGGUAGUAGUGGGUGUAGCGUACCUACUAGCCUACGACGGGUACGGGUUGUGAGAGCAAGAGCCCGGAGAUGGAUUCUGAGACACGAAUCCAGGCCCUACGGGGUGCAGCAGGCGCGAAAACUUUACAAUGCCGGCAACGGCGAUAAGGGGACCUCGAGUGCCAGGUUACAAAUCUGGCUGUCGUAAUGCCUAAAAAGCAUUUCAUAGCAAGGGCCGGGCAAGACCGGUGCCAGCCGCCGCGGUAACACCGGCGGCUCGAGUGGUAACCGUUAUUAUUGGGUCUAAAGGGUCUGUAGCCGGCCGGAUAAGUCUCUUGAGAAAUCUGGCAGCUUAACUGUCAGGCUAUCAGGGGAUACUGUCUGGCUCGAGGCCGGGAGAGGUGAGAGGUACUUCAGGGGUAGGGGUGAAAUCUUGUAAUCCUUGAAGGACCACCAGUGGCGAAGGCGUCUCACCAGAACGGACCUGACGGCAAGGGACGAAAGCUAGGGGCACGAACCGGAUCA